rnacentral:rRNA from 1 species
UCGCAAGCGUUCUCCGGAUAUAUUGGGAGUAAAGAGCGUCAAGGUGGUUUGGUAAGUCUGAUGUGGAAAUGCUGGGCUCAACUCCGUAUUGCGUUGGAAACUGCCAAACUAGAGUACUGGAGAGGUGGGCGGAACUACAAGUGUAGAGGUGAAAUUCGUAGAUAUUUGUAGGAAUGCCGAUAGAGAAGUCAGCUCACUGGACAGAUACUGACACUGAAGCGCGAAAGCAUGGGGAGC